UCCAACUCACUAGUCAUGAGAUCAUGACCUGAGCCAAAGUUGGAUGCUCAACCGAUUGAGCCACCAGGCACCCUGGAAAACCUUAUUCUUAAUGAGGCAUCUGUGGGGUGGCUCUCACAUGGGAGCUCAGCAUCCCUUAAGGGAUGUUCAUGGAAGCACUGUUGCUAUGGAGAAAGCUCCGGAGACAACCUGAUGGUCAUGGGGAGAAAGUGGUUAAAUAAUCCACGGUGUAUCCACACUACGAAACUAUGCAGCUGGAAAAGAAUGAGGGCCUGAUGUGGACACACUUAGCCAGGCACCAGAAGUACAGUGCGAGGAAGAGAAUAUACAUAUGUAUAUGCACAGAAAGCUUCUGGAAGGAUCCACAAGCUACUUUGUUACUGGACCAGGAGAUACUGAGGAGUAAAGAUCAUGAAUGAUAGGAAACUUGGGGGAAAAAAGACCCUGUGCUGAAGCAGGAAGCUGCUCUCCCCUCAAGUUGCUGAUAGUCUAAGAGCUGAGACAAAGAUACACCUAGCCAAGUUCACCUGGAUGAGUCUGGGAGGAAGAAGAGCCUUAUCAGAGCUCCAAAGAUGGGGAGGAGCAGCCUGGGAGACCUGGGUUGGGGUCCUCGCUUGGUCUCUGUCAGCUGUGUGGACAUGGGCAAGUCAUCUUGCCUCUCUCGGCCUCAGUUGUCCUCAUCUGUGAAAUGGCCACACAAUGAUAGCAUCAACCUCAGAGAGCGAGACCCCAUGGGUUGUCACCCACUUAGCACACCCUCUGUCUCUAGUGAUGGCUCAACAAAUGGGAGGACAUUACAUCCAUAGCUGGAGGCUGGAUGCUUGUGGCACUGAGGGGUACAAGCAGUUACAGGAACUCCAAGCGGUGUCAAAACUCUAGACUUCUCCCAAUUUCUGAAUCUCCUUUCCCCAUACUUCUUAGAAAGGUGAAGGUCGGCUUUGGGGAGGAAACUGGGCUGGGGGCGCUUCCUGGUUAGCCUGCUUGUAGCUCAGCUGCUAACAGUCAUGACACUGAUUAUAUUAAUGCCGUGUCUCAUUUAUUGAGGAUGG